rnacentral:rRNA from 1 species
CACGUAGGAGGCAAACGUUAUCCGGAUUUACUGGGCGUAAAGCGCGUGUAGGUGGUUCUGUAAGUAGGGCGUGAAAGCUCCCGGCUCAACUGGGAGAGGCCGUUCUAAACUACAGAGCUAGAGGAUGGUAGAGGGAGGUGGAAUUCCAGGUGUAGCGGUGGAAUGCGCAGAUAUCUGGAGGAACACCAGUGGCGAAAGCGGCCUCCUGGACCAUUCCUGACACUCAGACGCGAAAGCUAGGGUAGCAAAC